rnacentral:rRNA from 1 species
ACUUAAAUUGAAGAGUUUGAUCAUGGCUCAGAUUGAACGCUGGCGGCAGGCCUAACACAUGCAAGUCGAACGGUAGCACAGAGAGCUUGCUCUCGGGUGACGAGUGGCGGACGGGUGAGUAAUGUCUGGGAAACUGCCUGAUGGAGGGGGAUAACUACUGGAAACGGUAGCUAAUACCGCAUAACGUCGCAAGACCAAAGAGGGGGACCUUCGGGCCUCUUGCCAUCAGAUGUGCCCAGAUGGGAUUAGCUAGUAGGUGGGGUAAUGGCUCACCUAGGCGACGAUCCCUAGCUGGUCUGAGAGGAUGACCAGCCACACUGGAACUGAGACACGGUCCAGACUCCUACGGGAGGCAGCAGUGGGGAAUAUUGCACAAUGGGCGCAAGCCUGAUGCAGCCAUGCCGCGUGUAUGAAGAAGGCCUUCGGGUUGUAAAGUACUUUCAGCGGGGAGGAAGGUGUUGCGGUUAAUAACCGCAGCAAUUGACGUUACCCGCAGAAGAAGCACCGGCUAACUCCGUGCCAGCAGCCGCGGUAAUACGGAGGGUGCAAGCGUUAAUCGGAAUUACUGGGCGUAAAGCGCACGCAGGCGGUCUGUCAAGUCGGAUGUGAAAUCCCCGGGCUCAACCUGGGAACUGCAUUCGAAACUGGCAGGCUAGAGUCUUGUAGAGGGGGGUAGAAUUCCAGGUGUAGCGGUGAAAUGCGUAGAGAUCUGGAGGAAUACCGGUGGCGAAGGCGGCCCCCUGGACAAAGACUGACGCUCAGGUGCGAAAGCGUGGGGAGCAAACAGGAUUAGAUACCCUGGUAGUCCACGCCGUAAACGAUGUCGACUUGGAGGUUGUUCCCUUGAGGAGUGGCUUCCGGAGCUAACGCGUUAAGUCGACCGCCUGGGGAGUACGGCCGCAAGGUUAAAACUCAAAUGAAUUGACGGGGGCCCGCACAAGCGGUGGAGCAUGUGGUUUAAUUCGAUGCAACGCGAAGAACCUUACCUACUCUUGACAUCCAGAGAACUUAGCAGAGAUGCUUUGGUGCCUUCGGGAACUCUGAGACAGGUGCUGCAUGGCUGUCGUCAGCUCGUGUUGUGAAAUGUUGGGUUAAGUCCCGCAACGAGCGCAACCCUUAUCCUUUGUUGCCAGCGGUCCGGCCGGGAACUCAAAGGAGACUGCCAGUGAUAAACUGGAGGAAGGUGGGGAUGACGUCAAGUCAUCAUGGCCCUUACGAGUAGGGCUACACACGUGCUACAAUGGCGCAUACAAAGAGAAGCGACCUCGCGAGAGCAAGCGGACCUCAUAAAGUGCGUCGUAGUCCGGAUUGGAGUCUGCAACUCGACUCCAUGAAGUCGGAAUCGCUAGUAAUCGUAGAUCAGAAUGCUACGGUGAAUACGUUCCCGGGCCUUGUACACACCGCCCGUCACACCAUGGGAGUGGGUUGCAAAAGAAGUAGGUAGCUUAACCUUCGGGAGGGCGCUUACCACUUUGUGAUUCAUGACUGGGGUGAAGUCGUAACAAGGUAACCGUAGGGGAACCUGCGGUUGGAUCACCUCCUUACCUUAAAGAA